rnacentral:siRNA from 1 species
AUCGGAUAUCUGAGCAGCACAACA